rnacentral:rRNA from 1 species
CUCACUGGUCGAGUCGGCCUGCGCGGAAGAUGUAACGGGGCUAAACCAUGCACCGAAGCUGCGGCAGCGACGCUGAUGCGUUGUUGGGUAGGGGAGCGUUCUGUAAGCCUGCGAAGGUGACCUGUGAGGGUUGCUGGAGGUAUCAGAAGUGCGAAUGCUGACAUAAGUAACGAUAAAGCGGGUGAAAAGCCCGCUCGCCGG